rnacentral:rRNA from 1 species
UACGAGAGGCCCAACCGUUAUUCGGAAUUACUGGGCUUAAAGAGUUCGUAGGCGGCAUGAAAAGCAGGGUGUGAAAGCCCUCGGCUCAACCGAGGAAUUGCGCUCUGAACUGUCGUGCUUGAGGAACCUAGAGGUGAGCAGAACAGAUGGUGGAGCGGUGAAAUGCGUUGAUAUCAUCUGGAAUACCGGAGGCGAAGGCGGCUCACUGGGGGUUUUCUGACGCUGAGGAACGAAAGCCAGGGUAGCGAACGGG